rnacentral:rRNA from 1 species
GACGAACGCUGGCGGCGUGCUUAACACAUGCAAGUCGAACGGACAGACCCUGCUUUUGUGGGGUGCUCGAGUGGCGAGCGCGUGAGUAACACGUGUGUAUCCUGCCCUUGACUUUGGGAUAUCUCCAGGAAACUCGGGCUAUUACCCCAGAGAAUCUCCUGCUGCAUGGUGGUCGUUGGUAAGUUUCGGCUGUUGUGGAUGGUCUCGCGGCUUAUCGGCUUGUUGGUGGGGUAGUGGCUUACCAAGGCUGUGACGGAUAGCCGGCCUGGGAGGGUUGCCGGCGACCUGGGGACUGAGAGAGGGACCAGAAGGGUAUGGGAGGCAGCAGGGGGGAAUAUGGCGGAGUGGGGGGAAGCCAGAGGCAGCAACGCCGCGUGCGGGAUGCCGGGCUACGGGGGGUAAACAGCUGUGGACGUAGACGAAGCGUGAGUGACGGUAAUGGGUAAAGAAGCACCGGCUAACUACGUG